CUCUACACUCUACGACACGUGUUGGAAUGCCAGUGACCAUGGUCCAAAAAGGAUGGGAAGAGUAUCUGCUGGAACUCCCCUCCUGGCAACAUGGUUUUCCAUGACCAUUUCAAGCAAAUUCCAUGACCGGUAUGUCUGCUUGGAAGAAACUGCGCAUUGGAAACAAACUUUUGAGUGGUAAAAACAAAUUAUGAGGCGCUCAUAUAAAAUGGAAACCAUGCUGCUUUAUUGCAUUCCCUUGGCUGAAAGCAUCCUUUAAAAUGAAUAAAAUAUUAAAAGACA
rnacentral:lncRNA from 1 species